UUUAUGUUUGGGCUCUAGGUUUUUUAAUAAUUAAAAUAAAUGGGAAGCAAUCUAAUGAAAAGAAGAAGUUGGUAGUUAUGUAUUUUCUUAUUUCGAGCACCCCCUCGGGAGGGAUGGCGGUGAUAAUAUGAUAUAAAGGGAGGAUUAAAAUGCAAAGAAAGUGGCGGAAAGGGGAAAGUAAAUGGUUGAAUGUGGGGGAAAUAUUCUUAUUGUUGGCGUUCUUAGAUCCAAACUCUACAUGGAAUAGUAGGCCCAACAUAUCCAUCAAUAAAUUGAAAUAUUUUGAGUGAGGCUGUACUGUAGCACUGUAUCCUCUGUACCAUGUGAAGAUUCCCAUCCUUAAAUAAUUGGUCCCAUACUCUGCAUGUUUUCACGUGUCCUGCCAUUCGGAUGCCGUUAAUUACACCAUCAUGAGCAUCAGCUACUGCAUAGGAUUCGAGUGGCCCAGUGACAACCAAACCAAAAACUAUUUUCUUUUUUUUUUUAUUUUUAUUUUUUUUCAUUUUCCACCUCACUCUCCCUCCACGCGCGUCCUCUCCAAUCCCCAAUCAUGCAUCCCAUCAUACAAACCUUCUCUUCUCUUCUCUUCUGUAUACUGCUGUCAAUCAUUCGCAUCUCUUUUCUCAUUCUUCUCCCUGUCUAAACUUUUUC
rnacentral:lncRNA from 1 species